rnacentral:lncRNA from 1 species
AACCAAAUUCAAAAGAGCCAUUAAUCCAAGUUUGUACCAUUUCAGAUACACUGAUAUUACUACUUUGUGUGUAUCCAAUCAGUCCUACACUCAGCUAAUUAAUCGUAUAUGUCAAACCUACACUUAAUUAAUUAAUCCUAGCAACUAAUUUCUCCCGCUGUGCCACGCCACUUGAAUUCAUUAGUAUUCCCAGCAGAGGUGAUGUGUUGCUUUUCUUCGACAUGGAGGGAGUGAACUAGCCUUGG